UACGUAGGGGGCGAGCGUUGUCCGGAAUUACUGGGCGUAAAGGGUGAGUAGGCGGUUUUUUAAGUUGGAUGUGAAAUACCCGGGCUUAACUUGGGGGGUGCAUUCAAAACUGGGGAACUAGAGUACAGGAGAGGAAAGCGGAAUUCCUAGUGUAGCGGUGAAAUGCGUAGAUAUUAGGAGGAACACCGGUGGCGAAGGCGGCUUUCUGGACUGAAACUGACGCUGAGGCACGAAAGCGUGGGGAGCAAACAGGAUUAGAUACCCUGGUAGUCCACGCUGUAAACGAUGAAUACUAGGUGUAGGGGGUAAUACUCCCUCUGUGCCGCAGCAAACGCAAUAAGUAUUCCGCCUGGGGAGUACGGCCGCAAGGUUGAA
rnacentral:rRNA from 1 species